AUAGGCACGGCGUAAAGGGUGGUUAUGGGACAGACAAAAUAAAGCUAAAGACCCCCAGAGCCGUCAUACGCCCACGGGGGCGCGAAACCCAAAUACGAAAGUAGCUUUACCAAACAAAUGCCCGACCCCACGAAAGCUGAGAAACAAACUGGGAUUAGAUACCCCACUAUGCCCAGCCCUAAACCUAGAUGAAAACUUACAAAACCAUCCGCCCGGGGACUACAAGCACAGCUUAAAACCCAAAGGACUUGGCGGUGCCUCAGACCCACCUAGAGGAGCCUGUUCUAGAACCGAUAACCCCCGUUAAACCUCACCACCUCUUGUUUUCCCCGCCUAUAUACCGCCGUCGUCAGCUUACCCUGUGAAGGUCCAACAGUAAGCAAAAUGGGCCCAACCCAAAACGUCAGGUCGAGGUGUAGCGCACGAGGUGGGAAGAAAUGGGCUACAUUUUCUACCACAGAACACCACGGAUAGCUCCCUGAAACAUGACGCCUGAAGGAGGAUUUAGUAGUAAAAAGCAAAUAGAGUGUCCUUUUGAAUUAGGCUCUGAGGCGCGCACACACCGCCCGUCACUCUCCCCAUAUAAAACAAC
rnacentral:rRNA from 1 species